rnacentral:rRNA from 1 species
GAUGAACGCUGGCGGCGUGCCUAAUACAUGCAAGUCGAACGAUCAAGGAAGGAGCUUGCUCUUCCGGGAUGAGCUGCGAACGGGUGAGUAACGCGUAGGUAACCUGCCUGGUAGAGGGGGAUAACUAUUGGAAACGAUAGCUAAUACCGCAUAAUAGUAGAUGUUGCAUGAUUUCUACUUAAAAGGUGCAAUUGCAGUACUACCAGAUGGACUUUCGGUGUAUUAGCUAGUUGGUGAAGUAACGGCUCACCAAGGCGACGAUACAUAGCCGAACUGAGAGGGUGAUCCGCCACACUGGGACUGGGACACCGGCCAGACUUCUACGGGGAGCAACAGGAGGGGAACUUCGGGAAUGGACGGAAGUCUGACCGGGGAACGCCGGGUGGGGGAAGGAGGGUUUCGGGACGUUAAGCCCUGUUGUUAGGGGAGGACGAGAGGUGUAGUGAAAAGUUCACGUUGUGACGGUAUCUUAUCAGAAAGGGACGGCUAACUACGUG